AUUGAACGCUGGCGGCAGGCCUAACACAUGCAAGUCGAACGGUAACAGGAAACAGCUUGCUGUUUCGCUGACGAGUGGCGGACGGGUGAGUAAUGUCUGGGAAACUGCCUGAUGGAGGGGGAUAACUACUGGAAACGGUAGCUAAUACCGCAUAACGUCGCAAGACCAAAGAGGGGGACCUUCGGGCCUCUUGCCAUCGGAUGUGCCCAGAUGGGAUUAGCUAGUAGGUGGGGUAACGGCUCACCUAGGCGACGAUCCCUAGCUGGUCUGAGAGGAUGACCAGCCACACUGGAACUGAGACACGGUCCAGACUCCUACGGGAGGCAGCAGUGGGGAAUAUUGCACAAUGGGCGCAAGCCUGAUGCAGCCAUGCCGCGUGUAUGAAGAAGGCCUUCGGGUUGUAAAGUACUUUCAGCGGGGAGGAAGGGAGUAAAGUUAAUACCUUUACUCAUUGACGUUACCCGCAGAAGAGGCACCGGCUAACUCCGUG
rnacentral:rRNA from 1 species